CUGAAUAUGGUAAAAUAUAUGCAAAUAAAACAUGGCCACCAUCUACUGAUAAUCAGUACAGGAUGAGAGAUAGGGAACAAACAUUAAAAACUGUUGUUCUAGACCACAAAUUGGUAAACUAUGGCCCAUGGGUCAAAUCUGGCCCACACUGUGUAUCUGUAGAUAAACUUUUACUGAAAUAUAGUCAAAAUAUUAUCUCUGAUGAUGAGCCAAAAUUUAUCACUAU
rnacentral:lncRNA from 1 species